GAUGAAGAACGUAGUGAAAUGCGAUAAGUAAUGUGAAUUGCGGAAUUCAGUGAAUCAUCGAAUCUUUGAACGCACAUUGCGCCCGCCAGCAUUCUGGCGGGCAUGCCUGUUCGAGCGUCAUUUCAACCCUCAAGCUCUGCUUGGUGUUGGGGCCCUACGGUUGACGUAGGCCCUUAAAGGUAGUGGCGGACCCUCUCGGAGCCUCCUUUGCGUAGUAACUAACGUCUCGCAUUGGGAUUCGGAGGGACUCUUGCCGUAAAACCCCCAAAUUUUCUAAUGGUUGACCUCGGAUCAGGUAGGAAUACCCGCUGAACUUAAGCAUAUCAAUAAGCGGAGGA
rnacentral:misc_RNA from 1 species